rnacentral:rRNA from 1 species
ACGGAGGGUGCAAGCGUUAAUCGGAAUUACUGGGCGUAAAGCGCGCGUAGGCGGUUUGUUAAGCGAGAUGUGAAAGCCCUGGGCUCAACCUGGGAACUGCAUUUCGAACUGGCAGGCUAGAGUACAGAAGAGGGUGGUGGAAUUUCCAGUGUAGCGGUGAAAUGCGUAGAGAUUGGAAGGAACAUCAGUGGCGAAGGCGACCACCUGGACUGAUACUGACGCUGAGGUGCGAAAGCGUGGGGAGCAAACAGG